rnacentral:lncRNA from 1 species
ACUUUUAAAGUAUUACUGUCACUUUCAUCCUUCUGGCAACAAUUUGAACAGGAUUCAGUCAGCUGAGACAGAUUAAACUGGUCCAACUCUUUACACUGUGAACAUACCAAACUUGGUGCAAACCCCAAUGACCUGCAUUCGUCAGCUGACAGCAGACUACUUUUUACAUCAUCAAAAUACAACUAGAAAAAAAUAAUAAAUUAAUUAUAACAAUAAAUAGCAUUAUUAGGUAUAGGGAUAAACUAAGCUCAAGCAAUUAAUUUCAAAGCAUUUUAUAAAUUUUAAGAUAUAAUAAAUAUAUGUAUUUUCAAAAAUAUAUUGGUAUAGCCAUCAUUUCAUGAGGUAUGUGUAGCUAAGGUGCAUUUGUACCUAAAAACCGAAAUAUCAUUACCAUGAUUACACCUUAUUGCUUUUUGGAAAUCUGCGAUGGUUGACCUGAGAAUCUGCAAAUCUGGGUCUGUUCGCGCCCAAUCACACUCGCACCCAAUCACGUUCGCCCCCUUUCACUUUCGAGCCCAAUUUUUGUUUGUUUUGUGUUUAAUAACUUUUUUUAAUCAAAGUUAGGCAAGUGUAUUCCUAUAAGUGUAUUUGUUGUCAUUGUCUUAAAUUAAAGUGAGACAACGUUGGGUUUUUUUUGUGGUGAAUAAAUCUUAAUCUUGUUUUGGUUAGUGUAUAACUAACUUUUAUUUCAUUGUUUCAAAA